rnacentral:rRNA from 1 species
UACGGAGGGUGCGAGCGUUGUCCGGAAUCAUUGGGCGUAAAGGGUCGCGUAGGUGGCCCGGUCAGUCUUUGGUGAAAGCGCGGGGCUCAACCCUGCGUCGGCCAGGGAUACUGCCGCGGCUCGAGCACUGUAGAGGCAGGCGGAAUUCCGGGUGUAGCGGUGGAAUGCGUAGAGAUCCGGAAGAACACCGGUGGCGAAGGCGGCCUGCUGGGCAGUUUAGCUGACACUGAGGCGCGACAGCGUGGGGAGCGAACAGG